GCUUCUGUAGCCUAGUGGUUAUAGCGUUCGCCUAGUAAGCGGAAGGUCGUGGGUCCGAAUCCCACCAGAAGCA
rfam:Trichomonas vaginalis G3, whole genome shotgun sequence.